AGUGAACGCUGGCGGUAGGCCUAACACAUGCAAGUCGAACGGCAGCACAGGAGAGCUUGCUCUCUGGGUGGCGAGUGGCGGACGGGUGAGGAAUACAUCGGAAUCUACUUUUUCGUGGGGGAUAACGUAGGGAAACUUACGCUAAUACCGCAUACGACCUACGGGUGAAAGCAGGGGAUCUUCGGACCUUGCGCGAUUGAAUGAGCCGAUGUCGGAUUAGCUAGUUGGCGGGGUAAAGGCCCACCAAGGCGACGAUCCGUAGCUGGUCUGAGAGGAUGAUCAGCCACACUGGGACUGAGACACGUGCCAGACUCCUACGGGAGGCAGCAGUGGGGAAUAUUGGACAAUGGGCGCAAGCCUGAUCCAGCCAUACCGCGUGGGUGAAGAAGGCCUUCGGGUUGUAAAGCCCUUUCGUUGGGAAAGAAAUCCAGCUGGCUAAUACCCGGUUGGGAUGACGGUACCCAAAGAAUAAGCACCGGCUAACUUCGUGCCAGCCGCCGCCGUAA
rnacentral:rRNA from 1 species